ACACAAUAUUUUUCAACCUCACAAAUUCAGGCUGCAAAAAUGCGGUCUUCACAUCCGGGUCUCACAGGAAGAGCAAUGGAUUGCCGAUACUAUUGUAACAUGUUACUAUGGGGCGGCCCCCUAGUGGUGGGAUUGAACCUAACGGACUGGCAUAAAGUUGGCUUGACGUUGGACGUUCGAUAUUCGCAGUUAUGCGCAAAUUAAGGGACCGUCUCUAAAGUUACAUAUUGGUAUACAUGUUUCUAACUUCAAUAGCAUUUGAAGGGAAUGACUUGGUCAUAAAACCAACUGUAAAGUGUUCAUCUAAGUUUCAGCUAUAACGCACAUUAUUCUGUUAUACACAAAAGAGAGACUUAUUUAUAGCAUUUGAAACAUCACAAAUGGAACACAUCUAACACAAAGGAGGACACAUCUAAACUAAAUAAUCCUAGUUGCUGGUUAUUUUUUUUUCUUCUUCAAAUUGACUUGAUUCCAGAGAAUCUGCCUACAUUUUUUCAUUUUGUCAUUUCAAAUAUGAGAAGAAAUUGUUUGAAGUGCUAUGAUGUAGUGAGAUUCUUGAUAUGCAGAUGUCAGACACAUCACUGACCUGUGAGCCCCUAGUGGCACUAGAGGUGGAAGUGCUGUGUUUUGUUACAGCUGCUUAUCCUUUCUCAGCUCUUUUUCUAUCUUCCUCCACCUCCUUAAGAGAGCAGAAUAACAACACAAUAUGCCCAAGAAAUAAAGGAUGAAGGAAACGGAAAAGUCAAAGUCCAGUCCAUUGGUCAUCCCCUGCUCUGCAGUAUGUCAUCUUACUGAAAAGUUGUAGUUCCAGGAGACCUGGUCUGAGUGUGUGCUCCUGCUUGACCAGAUGAGGAAGGACUUGGUGGUGUACAGGAGGAAUUUCAGCAAGGCUGUAUAAUCCAUCAAAGGGAUACUCUCCAGCUGAAACAGGAAAUAAUGUAAUACCUGGCCCUGUGUCAAAUUAUAAAUAUUCCAGCUCUACAACACUAAAAGAUGUUGCAUAUCAAAUCCAUUAGUUUUUGAUAGAGGUAAUUUCUGUAAGUUGUUCUGAAUAACAGUGUCUGCCA